UUCGAGGAAGGACACGCAGUCUGGUUGAGAGGUUUGAAAGGAGAGAAAACUUUCAGACUGAUGAACUUCAAACACCUGAUUCAACCCCUCAGAUACUUCCUGUGACAGUUAAAGCACCCAACAUAGUGACACCUGAUUUACCUCCUCGGAUAAAGCCUGAUACAGUUAAAGCACCCACCAUAGUGGCACCUGAUUUACCUCCUCGGGUAAUACCUUAUUCAGUUAAAGCACCCGCCCUAGUGGCACCUGAUUUACCUCCUCGGGUAAUACCUGAUACAGUUAAAGCACCUGCCAUAGUGGCACCCGAUUUACCUCCUCGGGUAAUGCCUGAUACAGUUAAAGUACCCACCAUUGUGGCACCUGAUUUACCUCCUCGGAUAAUACGUGAUACUGCAAAAGCAUCCACCAUUGUCGAAGGGUUCAGCAUACACCAUUCAGCCCCUCGCAAAAUUUCUGAGACACUUAAAAAAUCCCCCAGGGUAGUAG
rnacentral:lncRNA from 1 species